rnacentral:rRNA from 1 species
UACGUAGGGUGCGAGCGUUGUCCGGAAUUAUUGGGCGUAAAGGGCUCGUAGGCGGUCCAUCGCGUCGGGAGUGAAAAGCUGGGGCUUAACCCCAGUCCUGCUUUCGAUACGGGUGGACUAGAGGUAGGCAGGGGAGAAUGGAAUUCCUGGUGUAGCGGUGAAAUGCGCAGAUAUCAGGAGGAACACCGGUGGCGAAGGCGGUUCUCUGGGACGGUACUGACGCUGAGACGCGAAAGCGUGGGGGAGCGAACAGG